rnacentral:rRNA from 1 species
CACCUUAUGUAGUCCCAAAGCCUUCACGGGCGGCGGUUGACUACGUCUACCUCACACCUUAAAGUAUGUUAACGAAUGUAAUCAUGGUCUUGACAGACCCUAAAAAGUUAAUACAACUUUCGACAACGGAUCUCUUGGCUCUCGCAUCGAUGAAGAACGCAGCGAAAUGCGAUAAGUAAUGUGAAUUGCAGAAUUCAGUGAAUCAUCGAAUCUUUGAACGCACCUUGCGCCCUUUGGUAUUCCGAGGGGCAUGCCUGUUUGAGUGUCAUUAAAUACCAUCAACCCUCUUUUGACUUCGGUCUCGAGAGUGGCUUGGAAGUGGAGGUCUGCUGGAGCCUAACGGAGCCAGCUCCUCUUAAAUGUAUUAGCGGAUUUCCCUUGCGGGAUCGCGUCUCCGAUGUGAUAAUUUCUACGUCGUUGACCAUCUCGGGGCUGACCUAGUCAGUUUCAAUAGGAGUCUGCUUCCAACCGUCUCUUGACCGAGACUAGCGACUUGUGCGCUAACUUUUGACUUGACCUCAAAUCAGGUAGGACUACCCGCUGAACUUAAGCAUA